rnacentral:snRNA from 2 species
GCCUACAGGCAUUUAGUUAACUUGAAACGAUACAGAGAAGAUUAUCAUGGCCCCAGGACUAGGAAGACGCUCUCAGCCAAAGAGAAGCUGCCGAUAUUG